CCUACGGGGGCAGCAGUGGGGAAUAUUGGACAAUGGGCGAAAGCCUGAUCCAGCCAUGCCGCGUGUGUGAAGAAGGCCUUCGGGUUGUAAAGCACUUUCAGUGGGGAAGAAAGCCUUGGGGCUAAUACCCUCGAGGAAGGACAUCACCCACAGAAGAAGCACCGGCUAACUCCGUGCCAGCAGCCGCGGUAAUACGGAGGGUGCGAGCGUUAAUCGGAAUUACUGGGCGUAAAGCGCGCGUAGGCGGUCUGAUAAGCCGGUUGUGAAAGCCCCGGGCUCAACCUGGGAACGGCAUCCGGAACUGUCAGGCUAGAGUGCAGGAGAGGAAGGUAGAAUUCCCGGUGUAGCGGUGAAAUGCGUAGAGAUCGGGAGGAAUACCAGUGGCGAAGGCGGCCUUCUGGACUGACACUGACGCUGAGGUGCGAAAGCGUGGGUAGCAAACAGGAUUAGCUACCCUUGUAGUC
rnacentral:rRNA from 1 species